rnacentral:rRNA from 1 species
AUUGAACGCUGGCGGCAUGCCUUACACAUGCAAGUCGAACGGUAACAGGUCUUCGGAUGCUGACGAGUGGCGAACGGGUGAGUAAUGCAUCGGAACGUGCCCAGUAGUGGGGGAUAGCCCGGCGAAAGCCGGAUUAAUACCGCAUACGACCUGAGGGUGAAAGGGGGGGAUCGCAAGACCUCUCGCUAUCAGAGCGGCCGAUGUCGGAUUAGCUAGUUGGUGGGGUAAAGGCCCACCAAGGCGACGAUCCGUAGCUGGUCUGAGAGGACGACCAGCCACACUGGGACUGAGACACGGCCCAGACUCCUACGGGAGGCAGCAGUGGGGAAUUUUGGACAAUGGACGCAAGUCUGAUCCAGCCAUGCCGCGUGCGGGAAGAAGGCCUUCGGGUUGUAAACCGCUUUUGUCAGGGAAGAAAUCUUCUGGGCUAAUACCCUGGGAGGAUGACGGUACCUGAAGAAUAAGCACCGGCUAACUACGUGCCAGCAGCCGCGGUAAUAC